rnacentral:rRNA from 1 species
GGAAUUGACGGGGGCCCGCACAAGCGGUGGAGCAUGUGGUUUAAUUCGAUGCAACGCGAAGAACCUUACCUACUCUUGACAUCCUGCGAACUUGUGAGAGAUCACUUGGUGCCUUCGGGAACGCAGAGACAGGUGCUGCAUGGCUGUCGUCAGCUCGUGUUGUGAAAUGUUGGGUUAAGUCCCGUAACGAGCGCAACCCUUGUCCUUAUUUGCCAGCACGUAAUGGUGGGAACUCUAAGGAGACUGCCGGUGACAAACCGGAGGAAGGUGGGGACGACGUCAAGUCAUCAUGGCCCUUACGAGUAGGGCUACACACGUGCUACAAUGGCCGGUACAAAGGGUUGCCAACUCGCGAGAGUGAGCUAAUCCCGAAAAGCCGGUCUCAGUCCGGAUCGGAGUCUGCAACUCGACUCCGUGAAGUCGGAAUCGCUAGUAAUCGUGAAUCAGAAUGUCACGGUGAAUACGUUCCCGGGCCUU